ACGCUGGCGGCGUGCCUAAUACAUGCAAGUCGAACGGUCUUUUCUAUGGAAGCUUGCUUCCACUGAGAAGAUAGUGGCGAACGGGUGAGUAACACGUGGGUAACCUGCCCAUAAGAGGGGGAUAACAUCCGGAAACGGGUGCUAAUACCGCAUAGUUUUCUUGAUCGCAUGAUUGAGAAAGGAAAGACGGCCUUUGUGCUGUCGCUUAUGGAUGGACCCGCGGCGUAUUAGUUAGUUGGUGAGGUAACGGCUCACCAAGACGAUGAUACGUAGCCGACCUGAGAGGGUGAUCGGCCACAUUGGGACUGAGACAUGGCCCAAACUCCUACGGGAGGCAGCAGUAGGGAAUCUUCCGCAAUGGACGAAAGUCUGACGGAGCAACGCCGCGUGAGUGAAGAAAGGUUUUCGGAUCGUAAAACUCUGUUGUCAGAGAAGAACAAGUUGGAGAGUAACUGCUCCAGCCUUGACGGUAUCUGACCAGAAAGCCACGGCUAACUACGUGCCAGCCGCAGC
rnacentral:rRNA from 1 species